CACCCCCAUCCCGGGACUCCUCCUUGGGUAGUGCUAAGCUUGGUUUAUCUUUUUUUUUUUUCCCAUCAGAGUAUGUGACCUACAUAAACUUGCCACUAGGUGGCAAUGUGGGCAUUUUAUUUAAAAGAUCAUGGAUGAUUCAUUUUGUAGCAAGCCCCAUAAGUGUAUAAGUGCAUUUGUGCUUUUUCUGACAGGCUGGGAAUCCCCUUUGAUUUUUAAAGUAAACAUAGAGAAGCUAUAAUAAUGAAAGAAUUUUUUGACCAAGUACACAUAUUCCAAACACUGUAACAGAGAUCUCUGUGAGCCUCAGCUACAGUAAUAAUGGUGAAGACUUGGCGAGUUUUGUUGAUUAUUUUGUGGCUUCUCCUAAGCGGGAUAAGUGGCAAAAAUGAAGUGGAGCAGAGUCCCCCAUACCUAAGUGUCCAGGAAGGAGAGCUUGUCACAAUCAACUGCAGUUACUCUACAGGAAUGACCACCUUACAGUGGCUGCAGAAGAAUCCUGGAGGAGGCAUUGUCUCCUUGUUUAUACUGAGUUUAGAGAUGAAGAAAAAAGAAAGAUUAAGUGCCACAAUAAACACCGAGGAACGUCACAGCUCCCUUCACAUCACAGCCUCCCAGCCCAGAGACUCAGCCACCUACCUCUGCGCUGUGGAGACACAGUGCUUUCCAGGCACCUGCAGCCCAUACCUAAACUCCACAGCUGAAGCAUCGCUUCUCAUUCCUAUCUCCAGACUUGUAUGCCUCUAUCCUUGGACAGUAAAAUUAACAGGAUUUUCUGAUGGAUUAAAUGGCGGAAGAGAGGACAAAAGAAAAGGAGUAGAACUAAGAAUAACUUCUUGAUAAUUUCUUAGUCUAAGCAAGUGGGUACAUCUUGAUGUGAUUGUUACCACAUCCAGGAAGGUGGAUCCUUGUCUGGAGCACUCAGACUUGCCAAUCAUCUGGACACCGGUCUUUGAAAAAGAGAAAGUAAUUUUAUUGCAAUGCUCAGAGCAAGAAGCCAGGAGGAAGUUCCUCAGAUCCAACUCCCUGAGCUACAGGGAAGCAGGGCUUAUAUGUGAUUUGGGCAGCAAGAUGGUGGCUGCACAGGCAUACUGGGGAGGGAAAAUUCUUGAAGGCGGCCAGGAAAUAGGAGGUGACGUGGUCCUUGUCGGACUUCUCGCUUUUGAAUAGGGUCUGGGUGCUGAUUUUCCUUCUGAUUCAUUCCACCUGUUGCCGUGUCCUCUGAAGUCAAUUAGUAGUCACAGCUAACCCUUCUAUGCAUAUGUGGGGGCGCCAAAUCUGGCUUGGGCUAGUUUAAGGGCUAAUGGAAAUUUACCUGCAUUUGUAGGGUCAGGUUACAUGAUUUCCUGAGAUGCUUACGACUGGAGUAGGAACAGGUUUGGAGGAUAAAUGAUAUUUGUAUUUUAACCAUGUUGGGCUUAUGAUACCUGUUGGAAAUCCAAGUAAAGAUGUCAUAGAGACAGAUAAAUGAAUUUGGAGCUUCAUUGGGAGGUUAGGGUCUGAGAUAAAACUUUGGAUGUCAUUGACAUAUAGAUGGUAUUUAAAGCCAUGGCAUAUGGUGAGAUAAAUUUUCUAAGGAGAAAGUACAGUUAUUGAAAAGAUGAGAGCUUGCAUCAGACUUGGGCUCUCCAACAUGAAGAAGGUGAGCAGAGAGGAAAAAGAGAGCAGCAAAAAGGAAUUGAGAAGGGGUAGCAAAUAAAGGAAGGGAACCCUGAUGGCGCAGUGGUUAAGUGCUUGGCUGCU